AUAGCAUGCAAAAUCAAUUAGAAUCAAUUUAAGAAGAAUUAGGCAAACCCUAGUUUGAAAAGAAGAACAAAAAUAGUAAAAAUGUCUCAAUUACUCAGACUAAUAAGAUCUGGAAGUGAGUGUAUCAGGUCAGAAACAUGAAGAUAAUACAUAAUCGGAGUUGAACGAACAUAGGUGAUUCAUUUUCCAUAAAUAAUCGAGUACCAAAUGAUUGUAAUGUUUAAGAGAUGGUAAGCGUCUCCGUGUGUGCAAGAAAGGAAAGGAAUCAUGGAAGAUUUCCAUGUGAUUAUCGAAUUGGGACUGGGAUUUGAGUGGAGCAGCUAGGGUUUGUAGAAGAGAGGAGAAGGUUCGAGAAAGCAUAGAGGCGGCUAGUUUGAAGUGGUCUUUAGGGUUUUAGGUGUUUGAUUAAUUAAAAGGGGUGAGGUGAUCUUCGGCCGUUAAUCUUGAAAGAUCAACGGCCAGGAUUAAGGAAU
rnacentral:lncRNA from 1 species